UAAUAAAGCAAUGACUUCAAAUAUAACAAUUAAUAUUAGAAUAUAAAAAUAAAUUUACUUUAACAACCCACCUAUAUAUAACUUAUAUUAAAGAUGUUUAAUUUAUAAUAGAUACAUUAAUAGUGCCAGCAAUCGCGGCUAUACUUUAUAUUAAUAUAUUGUAGAUAAUUAACUUUUAUCACUAUCUUUAAAUUAUUUAUUAAGUAAAAUUUUAUUAAAUUACAAAAACUUUAUAAAUUAAUUAAUAUUUAAAAUAUAAAAUAGGAUUAGAUACCCUAGUAUAUUUUAUCUUCUUAGGAAGUAUUAUUAAUUAAAACCUAAUUACAAAAUGGCGGCUAUUGUUUUAUUAGAGGAACUUGUUAAUUUAUCGACAAUCCCCGAUAAAUUUCACUUUAAUAAUAAACUUAUAUAUCGCCAUCUAAAGAAAUUUUCAUAAAAAUUUUUCUAAAUAAUUUAUAAAAAGUUAGGUCAAGGUGUAGUCUAUACUAAAGAUAUUAAUGAGUUACAUUAAAAUAAAUUUAAGAAAAUUUUUAUCAUAAUAUUUAUAGAAAAAGGAUUUAUUAGUAUUAUUAUAAUAAUAUUUUAAUUUAAACUUUAUUAACAAAAGUGCACAUAUCGCCCGUCACCCUUAUUCCAUAAAUAAGGCAAGUCGUAACAUAGUUGAUAUUUUGGAAAAAGUAUCAAG
rnacentral:rRNA from 1 species